CUUGCGAGCGCGACGUAGCCGGAAGCUGGUGGCGGCUGGUGGGCGCCCGGGCGCGUCCCCGUUGCAGUGCGGCGGCCCGACCCCGGCUCUGGCCUGACCCCGGCGGCCCUGUCCGCCUCCUGCCAGCAUCAUGGCCAGCCCAAGAACCAGGAAGGUUCUUAAAGAAAUCAGGGUGCAGGAUGAGAACAACGUUUGUUUUGAGUGUGGCGCAUUCAAUCCUCAGUGGGUCAGUGUGACCUACGGCAUCUGGAUCUGCCUGGAGUGCUCGGGGCGACACCGUGGGCUCGGGGUGCACCUCAGCUUUGUACGCUCCGUUACUAUGGACAAGUGGAAGGACCUUGAGCUUGAGAAGAUGAAAGUGGGCGGGAACGCCAAGUUCCGAGAGUUCCUGGAGUCGCAGGAGGAUUACGAUCCCUGCUGGUCCUUGCAGGAGAAGUACAGCAGCAGAGCCGCGGCCCUCUUCAGGGAUAAGGUGGCCGCUCUGGCCGAAGGCAGAGAGUGGUCUCUGGAGUUGUCACCUGCCCAGAACUGGACCCCGCCUCAGCCCAGGACGCUGCCGUCCGUGGCGCACCGAGCCUCUGGCCAGCCGCACAAUGUGACCGCCUCCUCAGACAAGGCUUUUGAAGACUGGCUGAAUGAUGACCUAGGCUCCUAUCAAGGGACCCAAGGGAAUCGCUACGUGGGCUUUGGGAACACACCACCACCUCAGAAGAAAGAAGACGACUUCCUCAACAAUGCCAUGUCUUCCCUGUACUCGGGCUGGAGCAGCUUCACUACUGGAGCCAGCAGGUUUGCCUCAGCAGCCAAGGAGGGCGCUACAAAGUUUGGAUCCCAAGCAAGUCAGAAGUUUUGGGGUCACAAGCAGCAGCCGGAGCCGGCGUCGGAGCUGGGCCACAGCCUGAACGAGAAUGUCCUCAAGCCUGCGCAGGAGAAGGUGAAGGAGGGAAAGAUUUUUGAUGAUGUGUCCAGUGGGGUCUCUCAGUUGGCCUCCAAGUGCCGGCACCAUCCUCGCCGUCUUCCGUCCGCUGCUCUGCCGGCCGGUCGGGGUCUGCGUUUUGUCCUGUUUGCUGGCGUGGGGUGCUCUGCAGAUGGGGAGGGAAAAGCAGGCCCCACCCCUCUCCCCUGUGUGUGGGUGGGUGCUCCUGUAGUCUGUGCACCCAGCGCUGCUGUGCGUGUCUGUGUCCGAGUGUGCCAGGCACCCCUCGCUUCUGGAUUUUACCUGGGCCUUCGCUGCCGGUUGGUGUGCACUGGCUUGCGUGCCUGUGCCGUGACGGGGCCUCCCUAAUCUCUCUUCUCAUCUUCCAGGUCCAGGGAGUCAGCAGUAAGGGAUGGCGGGACGUUACCACCUUUUUCUCGGGGAAAGCAGAGGGUCCCUUGGACAGUUCCUCUGAGGGCCACAGUUACCAGAACAGUGGUCCGGACCACUUCCAGAACAGCGCCAUAGACCAGAGCUUCUGGGAGACCUUCGGGAGCACCGAGUCCGCCAAGGCCCGGAAGUCCCCGAGCAGCGACAGCUGGACCUGCGCAGACACCUCCACGGAGAGGAGGAGCUCCGACAGCUGGGAGGUGUGGGGCUCAGCCUCCACCAACAGGAACAGCAACAGCGACGGCGGGGAGGGCGGGGAGGGCGCCAAGAAGGCGGUGCCGCCGGCUGUGCCCGCCGACAACGGCUGGGACAACCAGAACUGGUAGGGCCGCCACAGGCAGCCCUGUCCCCAGUGCCCUGGGUGACUUCAUAUCUGCACUCUGCCCUCGUUCUCUUUCCAUUUGAUCCAAGAAUCAGCGACCACAGUGUGAGGACAGCGUCUCGGGAGGCAGGACUCCGGGGAGACCCGGGUUCGUGCCGCUGUCCACCUUGGGAGUCUCGGUGCGUGGGGCAGCUUGCUCUCCAUCCCACACUCCCUGGGCACACUUGGACUCCAGCAGGGGCCUGGCGUGGCUUACUGGGAGGUGGGCUGUGGCACAGACCCUCGCAAGUGUGUUCCGGCGGCCAGUUUGACACAUUAUCUCCAGGGUCGGGGAUCGGCCACGUGCUGCGCUGUCGGAGAUGAGAGGAGCCACGUCUCCUGGAGAUGUUUAACUCUGGAUUUGCUCUAGUUCUUUCUCUUUCAAGAGAGUGACUGGAGGGGUAAAGAUGGAAAUGCU